rnacentral:rRNA from 1 species
CCCCCCGUAGACUGAACCAGCCAUGCCGCGUGAAGGUCAGUGCCCUAUGGGCGUUAAACUUCUUUUGUGCGGGAGCAAUAAUGGUCACGUGUGGCCAGACGAGAGUACCGUACGAAUAAGCAUCGGCUAACUCCGUGCCAGCAGCGGCGGUAAUACGGGGGAGGCAAGCGUUAUCCGGAUUUAUUGGGUUUAAAGGGUGCGUAGGCUGUGAGGUAAGUCAGCGGUGAAAUGCCCCCGCUCAACGGGGUAAAGUGCCAUUGAUACUGCCUUGCUGGAAUGCGGAUGCCGUGGGAGGAAUGUGUGGUGUAGCGGUGAAAUGCAUAGAUAUCACACAGAACACCGAUUGCGAAGGCAUCUCACGGAUCCGCGAUUGACGCUGAUGCACGAAAGCGUGGGUAUCAAACAGGAUUAGAUACCCCUGUAGUC